GUGGGAGUGAUUCAAUCAGCCACUCCAGCUCUCCCAUAUAACCAGAUGCUACUCUUCAUUCAGAGCUGGACCGUGACGGACCAACAUGUCAACUCCCACCUCCUUUGCCCGGAUCAUCUGCAUUCUCCAUCGACUGGGUACUGGAUCAUCUUUUCCCCCUGGUUCAUCACUGGUUUCUCCUGGUUCAUGGCUUUAGCGUCCCCCUGUCCCUACACACCGCCUGGAAACAUCUGCUGCCAGCUGAGCCCCCCUGGAGACAACUGCCUCGCCACCUAGGACACCAUUCCUGCCCAGAUGCCACCCUGCCUGCUCAGUCACUGCGGAUGCCAUUCAUUUCUGUAAGCCCAAUCCAAGACCUUCUGGUCACCACAUGGUUCCAGCCUUCCACCGCUGCCCCAAUAUCUACCUGAGAAGUUGGAUUCUGGACCAGACUGAACCUGGCAUCCACCCUGAACAUCUGCCCUCUGGCUUAGUCAGUUAAGUCCCAGUUCCGAGCAAUACCAGAUUCAUUUAUCUAUCGUGAUUACUGUAUCUGUUAGUCGCAUUUAGAAUCCUGUGAGUAUUUCUGGGUUCUUCGUGUGAAAUUGGGAUUAGUAAUUCUUCGAUUCUGGUCUUGUUAUUUACGGUUAGUUGUGGGAGGGUUUUUGUAGGAUUACUGUAGUUGGUGUUUUUGUAGUUUCCGUUGCAUUCCUGCCUUGGUGUUACCAACCGCGGGACCAACUGCAUUUUGGUUUAGGUUUGGUUAUUUCUGAGUAGUUUUCAAUAGUUCAUGUAAUUAUUCCACCUGACCACUAGUUGGUCUAAUCUCCGUUCCAUUCAGUGGAACUUCUGGUAAUUCCAUUUUCUGAUUUCCGGUGUCCGGUUGUAGUUUUUGUUAUUCCUGGUGUUGUAAAUAAAAGCGUUCUAAAUUGUA